GUGAUGGUGCGUUUGUGGCCGGCCUCCACAGUGCCUUUGCCAGGCUCGACACUAAAGCCCUGCUGCUGCAGGGAUGCAACGUUAUCCCAGAAAAACUCACCACUCUGGGGAAAAAACAGACAGUCAAGAUAAAAUCAAAGCCUAUUAAAAGGCAAAGAUAGAGGCGUCAUAUCGCCUGUCACAAGACCACAGAGGGUUUCAGUGCUUUACAGGGUUAUUAUCUGUCUUACGAUCCAUCACAGUGCAUUUGAUGAAACACCUGGCAGCAGAGCAGUGGUUAUUGCAGUAAACCUACC